rnacentral:lncRNA from 1 species
GGGCUAUAGCCUUGGGGGGUGGGGCUGGCCAUCUUCAUCCGCCGGACUCGGAAUGCCGUGAGACUUUGCGAGGGAACUCCGUGUGCCAUAAAUAAUCCACGGGAAAAGCCGUGCCUAAAAAUAACCACCCGAAGGCCGGGGCGCCAAGUUCGUCCAGCGGUAAAAGGCCACAAAAACGGGUAGGCUAUAGCCUUGGGGGGUGGGGCAAGCCGACUUCGUCCGCCGGACUCAGAAUGCCGCGUGACUUUGUAAGGGGCCUCCGUGUGCCAAAAAUAGGCCGUGGGCAAAGCCGCGCCCAAAAAUAACCGCCCGAAGUCCGGGGCGCCAAGUUCGUCCAGCGGAAAAAGGCCACAAAAACGGGUGGGCUAUAGCCUUGGGGGGUGGGGCGGGCCGACUUCGUCUGCCGGACUCGGAAUGCUGCGAGACUUUGCGAGGGGCCUCCGUGUGCCAAAAAUAGGCUGCGGGCAAAGCCGCGCCAAAAAAUAACCGCCCGAAGGCUGGGGCUCCAAGUUCGUCCAGCGGAAAAAGGCCACAAAAACGGGUGGACUAUAGCCUUGGGGGGUGGGUCUGGCCAACUUCGUCCGCCGGACUCGGAAUGCCGCGAGACUUUGCGAGGGGCCUCCGUGUGCCAAAAAUAGGCCGCGGACAAAGGCGCCCCAAAAAAUAACCGCCCGAAGGCCGGGGCGCCAAGUUCGUCCGGCGGAAAAAGGCCACAAAAACGGGUGGGCUAUAGCCUUGGGGGGUGGGGCUGGCCAUCUUCGUCCGCCGGACUCGGAAUGCGGUGAGACUUUGCGAGGGAACUCCGUGUGCCAUAAAUAAUCCGUGGGCAAAGCCGCGCCUAAAAAUAACCACCUGAAGGCCGGGGCACCAAGUUCGUCCAGCGGUAAAAGGCCACAAAAACGGGUGGGCUAUAGCCUUGGGGGGUGGGGCUGGCCAACUUCGUCCGCCGGACUCAAAAUGCGGUGACACUUUGCGAGGGGCCUCCGUGUGCCAAAAAUAGGCCGCGGACAAAGCCGCGCCCAAAAAUAACCGCCCGAAGGCCGGGGCGCCAAGUUCGUCCAGCGGAAAAAGGCCACAAACACGGGUGGGCUAUAGCCUUGGGGGGUGGGGCAAGCCGACUUCGUCCGCCGGACUCAGAAUGCCGCGAGACUUUGUAACGGUCCUCCGUGUGCCAAAAAUAGGCCGCGGGCAAAGCCGCGCCCAAAAAUAACCGCCCGAAGUCCGGGGCGCCAAGUUCGUCCAGCGGAAAAAGGCCACAAAAACGGGUGGGCUAUAGCCUUGGGCGGUGGGGCUGGCCAACUUCGU